ACAAGCGGUGGAGCAUGUGGUUUAAUUCGACGCAACGCGAAGAACCUUACCAGCCCUUGACAUGUACUGGAAUGCCCGCAGAGACGUGGGCAGCCGCAAGGCCAGUACACAGGUGUUGCAUGGCUGUCGUCAGCUCGUGUCGUGAGAUGUUGGGUUAAGUCCCGCAACGAGCGCAACCCCCGCCUUCAGUUGCCAACGGUUCGGCCGUGCACUCUGGAGGAACUGCCUGUGACAAGCAGGAGGAAGGUGGGGAUGACGUCAAGUCCUCAUGGCCCUUAUGGGCUGGGCUACACACGUGCUACAAUGGCGGUGACAGAGGGAUGCAAUACCGCGAGGUGGAGCAAAUCCCUAAAAGCCGUCUCAGUUCGGAUUGUUCUCUGCAACUCGAGAGCAUGAAGUUGGAAUCGCUAGUAAUCGCGGAUCAGCUCGCCGCGGUGAAUACGUUCCCGGGCCUU
rnacentral:rRNA from 1 species